UACGAAGGGGGGCUAGCGUUGCUCGGAAUUACUGGGCGUAAAGGGCGCGUAGGCGGAUAUUUAAGUCGGGGGUGAAAGCCCGGGGCUCAACCUCGGAAUUGCCUUCGAUACUGGAUAUCUUGAGUUCGGGAGAGGUGAGUGGAAUGCCGAGUGUAGAGGUGAAAUUCGUAGAUAUUCGGCGGAACACCAGUGGCGAAGGCGACUCACUGGCCCGAUACUGACGCUGAGGCGCGAAAGCGUGGGGAGCAAACAGG
rnacentral:rRNA from 1 species